rnacentral:rRNA from 1 species
CAGCAGCCGCGGUAAGACAGGAGGCGCAAGCGUUGUCCGGAAUUACUGGGCGUAAAGCGUCCGUAGGCGGGUCAGAAAGUCUGCUGUUAAAGCUCACAGCUCAACUGUGAAUCGGCAGUGGAAACUUCUUGACUAGAGAGUGGUAGGGGUAGAGGGAAUUCCUAGUGUAGCGGUGAAAUGCGUACAUAUUAGGAAGAACACCAGUGGCGAAGGCGCUCUACUGGGCCAUUACUGACGCUGAUGGACCAAAGCUAGGGGAGCGAAAGGGAUUAGAUACCCCUGUAGUCCUAGCUGUAAACGAUGGACACUAGGUGUUGGCCGUAUCGACCCCGUCAGUAUCGAAGCAAACGCGUUAAGUGUCCCGCCUGGGGAGUACGCACGCAAGUGUGAAACUCAAAGGAAUUGACGGGGGCCCGCACAAGCGGUGGAGUAUGUGGUUUAAUUCGAUGCAACGCGAAGACCCUUACCAGGGAUUGACAUCCUACGAAUCUUCUUGAAAGGGAAGAGUGCCUUCGGGAGCGUAGAGACAGGUGGUGCAUGGCUGUCGUCAGCUCGUGUCGUGAGAUGUUGGGUUAAGUCCCGCAACGAGCGCAACCCUCGUCAUUAGUUGCCAUCAUUAAGUUGGGCACUUUAAGGAGACUGCCGGUGACAAACCGGGGGAAGGUGGGGAUGACGUCAAGUCAUCAUGCCCCUUACAUCGUGGGCUACACACGUACUACAAUGCAACGGACAAAGGGCAGCCAACUAGCGAUAGUGCGCUAAUCCCAUAAACCGUUGCUCAGUUCAGAUUGCAGGCUGCAACUCGCCUGCAUGAAGGCAGAAUCGCUAGUAAUCGCAGGUCAGCAUACUGCGGUGAAUACGUUCCCGGGCCUUGUACACACCGCCCGUCACACCAUGGAAGUUGGCCACGCCCGAAGUCGUUACCCCAACCUUAGGGAGGGGGACGCCGAAGGC